ensembl:lncRNA
CUCCUGGCUAAUAUCCUUCAAGACAAGACAAUACAAGAUGAUAUUACAUUGCUUGCUUAGGCCCAGAGCUUCUCCCAUCUAAAAAUAAAGAAGUAUAUUUAACAUGAAAGAAAUGUUAAGCCUUUAAAGAAAUCUUGGUUUUACUUGUUACGUGAAACUCUUGGGUGCAUAGAGUCAGCUAUAUUUGUCCCGGCUUUGUCAUAGUUUUAGGCACUUGUAGACAUACCAAUGAGACAUCUUGUUUAAAUUAACAAGGCUCUGUGCUUUUCAGAGACCCUGGACUAGGAACAAGGCGCCUCAACCCGGCACAACCUCCCGACAAGCUGGCAACUCCAAAUGAAUGUCAAGUAUUUGCGAAGCAAGAUGGCAAAUGCAAAACAUCAUCCAUGAAGUCUUCAGGAAAGGAACUCAUGGAUCUCCUUUUAAUCGUAAGAAGGUUCCCAGACAUUUCUUCAUGGCUCACCUGUGUAGUCCAAGUCAUAGAUCGAGAAUCUACAGGAUUUAAGUGGCAAAUGUCAGCAUAUUUAUAAAUGGCUUUGGUAGAAUCAUGUUUUCAAACAUGCUUUUGCUCAUAAUUCUCUGUUAAGUGACAAGACCAUCACCUUCCUGUAAAUUAGUUCUUCCAGACCAUCUCAGUUUAGCCAGGUAACAACCACUGAAUGUUCACAAAACAUCCUUUGUGAUUGACUUCUGAAGUAUACACCAAACAAGGAAGAGCAUCCAUGAUCCAUGGAGCCCCUGUAACCAGGCAAAUCUGUGCCAGCUACUAAGCACUUGAGAGAAACGUGGGAAAAUCUACUGUUGGGAAAGACAGAAGAAGAAAACCCAAUUCCAGGAUCCACUGGUUCAUGCUUCAACAUGUCUAGGCCUGACUCUGGUUGGUCUUUCUGGCCUCCUGAAGAGGCCAGGAGUCCUUCCAAGGUUAGCAGGCUUCUGAGCUCCUGGGGGAAGGAGAAAAGGAGAACUAGGUCGCACUCGCUGUGCGUUGGUUGCCUGGAAUUGUUCUCCUGGUUGUGCUCAGUGAAAAGGACAACUUGACUUCAGUCUUCUGGAAUGCGCAUCAGCUGGGAGCGUCUGCUUGACCCUAAAAGGUUAUGUCAGAAACUUUCAAGUUGUGGAAUGUUGCUUGCUCUGUAGAAACACCAGAGGAUUUCACACCUGAAAGGACAACAUUGCAGACAAAAAUGCUCCAGAUCCUGGCCUUUAGAAACGGGAACAUUAAUUUGCCGCAUGUGUUAAGAGGACUGUAGGAACACAGAUAGUUCUCAUGCUGCCGGACACUUCUGAUUUUAUUUGGUCAAAGUUAUAACCUUUGUGUUUCCUUAUGGUAUUCUCUUGGGAAAGCUCUGGUGAUGGGUUCCUUUAGUGCUCCAGCUGGAGUGAUCCUUCAACUGCACUCAUUUGUAGCCACCUAGACUGCAAAAAAAAAAAAAAAAAAAGCAAAAAUCAGAUCUCAUUGACUAUUCCUGAUAUUGGAGAACUGGAGAGAGUUAUUAUUAGCAUGCCCAGAUUGUCUCAGGUUUCUCUGGUAACUCAGAUGGUAAAGAAUCCACUUGCAAUGCAAGUGACCUUGAUUUGAUUCCUGGGUUGGAAAGAUCCCCUGGAGAUGGGAUAGGCUACCAACUCCAGUAUUCUUGGGCUUCCCUGGUAGCUCAGCUGAUAAAGAAUCUGCCUGCAAUGCAGGUGACCUGGAUUUGAUCUCUGGGUUGGGAAGAUCCCCUGGAGAAGGAAAAGGCUACCCACUUCAGCAUUCUGGCCUGGAGAAUUCAGGUCUGAAGGACAGAAUAUAGGCCUGGAGGACUAUACAACCCAUGGGGUCACAAAGAGUUGCUCACGACUGAGCGACUUUCACUUUCAGAUUGUCUCUGUCUGUCCUAAUCUUUUUUUCUUAGUGUUAUUACAGAGAUAUAAUUGAUAUAACAUUGUGCAGCCAUAAACUGUACAACAUGUGGACUUAAUACAUUUACAAAUAUUGUAGAGCGUUAACCAUCAUAUUAUUAGCUAAAUCUCUGCCACGUCACAUAAUUAACAUUCUUUUUUUGUGGUGGGAAUGAUUAAGAUCCAGUCUCUUAGCAACUUUGAAGGUUAUAAUACAGUACUGUCGAUUUUAAUCUCUGUGCUGUGUGUUAGAUCUCUAACACUUAUUUAUCGACUGGCUGCAAGUUUGUUGCCUUAAAUGGCAUCUCUCUAAAUCGCCCUCUUCCCAGCACCUGGUAACCUCCACUCUAUUCUCUGUUUUUAAAAGUUCAGCUCCUUUUAGAUGUCGCUUAUAAGUGAUAUCAUAUAGUAUUUGUCUUUCUCUCUGACUUAUCUCACUCACCAUAAUGCCCUUGAAUUCCAUCCAUGUUGUCAUAAAUGACUGAUAUAGUGAGUGGAUUUGGAGGAGCAUCAAAAACAUGCUUUUCCUACAUUUCUUCCUGCAGUAACAGAUUCCUAAGGAAUCUAGAAGAUAAUUCAGCAAAUGGUACCAUAUCUUGAAAAUAUUUUAAAAACCCAGGAUGCUAAUCCACCCUAUAAGCACAGGAAACAAAAUUUAUCAGGCCAACCUAGAAGAAAGGGUGAAUAAGCACAUAAAUAUUAACAAAAGUAAAUAGUUAUAAAUGUUGGCGCAAGUACCACUUCCUCUUUGGGUCCUGGAGCCUUUUUUCAAAAUCAGAAUGCUGGAGAGUUGAGUUCAAAAAAUUAUCAGACCAGAAUUUUGGGUGAAAAUCAAGCACUGAGCACACCUUCUUGAUUCCACCUCUUCCUAAAGCCCUGCAAAAUAAUGGUACAAAGAUUUUCAAAGACAUAAAUGCAAAGGACAAUGAGAGAGGAGACAAGAACAAAAACCUUUGGAAGCCAGAGA